GCACCCUUAGCUCAGCUGGAUAGAGCGUUUGACUACGGAUCAGAAGGUCGGGGGUUCGAAUCCUCCAGGGUGCGC
rnacentral:tRNA from 1 species